rnacentral:ribozyme from 1 species
AAUACACAGAAUCAAUGCGUGAAUUUUCAAAGGACAAUGAGGCCAAGAAACGCCAGCUACUGAAAUCAUCCCAGUUCACUUCUAAUUCUACUACAACGCGGUGCAAAGAGGAAGAAGAAUGCCCAAUGGAAAGUAUUGUAAAUGUGCCAUCCAUGAUGUAUGAAGCUUAUCCUGUUGGUUAUGCAUCGACAGCCC